GUUUGUGUAGCUUAGCCAAAAGCAAAGCACUGAAAAUGCUUAGACGGACUUUUAUCAGUCCCACAAGCA
rnacentral:tRNA from 1 species